AGAGUGGAGUGUCUUUACGCACGAGCUUCUGCCAGACUCCCGGGACUGAGUGCGUUCUCUGCAAACGGAUCCGCACUUGAAAUGGCAAAAACAAGCCAGCUGGUGAGAGUUUGCUUUCAACUCUGCAGGAUGAAACGGUACAUAAACUUGUCAAUAGGGGGAGACAACAGUCUGGAAACCCAGCAAACCUGCCUCCCUCACCUCUGGCUCUGAGCAGGAGGAGGAGGAGGAGGAGGAGGAGGAGGAGGGUCAGGGAGCUCCAGCAGACUGCUGCGGUGCAACAGUUGCUGUCAGACAUCAGCUUCUGAUUUGUAUCGCUCAUCUCAUUUCCAACAACAGAAGCAAUAAUCUAGGCGAACGGCAGAUUCUGUUCAAUUCGCUGACUGCUCAGCAUCUGGCCUCACCUUUCUACCAAAUGUUCCUCAUAAAAUGUUCUCACUUUUCA